ACAAGUUAAUAAACUUGUAUACAUUUCUGCAAUGUUUCCACACAGAUUGCACUUAAAAACAAGUAUACAUUGGCUUGCCUCCAUAUGAUUUACUAUGCCCAAAUACUUUAAAAGUCAAAUAGAGAAUAUACUAAUCUGUUGUGUGUGUUUUUAAUCUAGAAUAGCUUGGGGCCAGGCAAAAACUCAAAAUUCCAGCUUUUCAAGUCAAUGGAUGUCUAUGGAGAGGGGGAUCUGCUAUUUAAAGAUUUCACUUCAUGUCUCCUUCCUGUUGGCCAACGCAGUGUACAAGACAUACUAGGAGAAAACUUCAUGGAUCUUGCAGACUCAGUGUUUUCCUGCACACAAGCGGGUAUUUGAUCUUUUACUUAUGUCUUAAAAUGUAUUGCUUAUCUUAAUGUCUAGGUAUAACAUCUAUAUACCGUAUAUACUCGAGUAUAAGUCGAGUUUUUCAGCACAUUUUUUGUGCUGAAAACCCCCCACUCGACUUAUACUCGUGUCAAUGUCUGUAUUAUGGCAACUUACAUUGCCAUAAUACAGACUAGGACCGCUGGGCUUAUUACAAGCCCGGCGGUCCUGUUGGGGGGCUGGCAGCGAACUGUAACUUACCUUUCCUGCAGCUCCUGUCAGCUCCCUUCUCUCUCCUCCAGUCCGGUCAGCUCCCCUGUCAGCUCCCACUGUAAGUCUCGCGAGAGCCGCGGGAUCAGAGCGUUGCCACGGGUUACUGUGGUAACGCUCUGCGCGGCACUCAGACCACGAGACUUGCAGAGGUUGCUGACAGGGGAGCUGACCGGACUGGAGGAGAGAGAAGGGAGCUGACAGGAGCUGCAGGAAAGGUAAGUUACAGCUCGCUGCCAGCCCCCCUCCUACACAGCCCAUCCACUGGACCACCAGGGAAUGAGAGCUCCCCUCCCUGGCCAGCUAACAAGCAGGGAGGGGGGACGAAUAAAAAGAAAUACAAAUUAAAAUAAUAAUAAAAUAUUAAUAAUAUUAAAAUAAUAAUAAUAAUAAUAAAAAAAUAUUAAUAAUAUAACAAAAAAAGUUAAAAUAAUAAUAAUUUUAAAAAAAUGCCCACCCCCUCACAUACACAAACACACUCUGCAUCACACACACACACACUGCAUUCAUACACACACUGCAUUCAUACACACACACACAAUGCACUCAUACACACACUGCACUCGUACACACACACACUGCAUUCGUACACACACACACACUGUAUUCAUACACACACACACACUGCACUCAUACACACACUGCAUUCAUACACACACUGCAUUCAUACACACACUGCAUUCAUACACACACACUGCAUUCAUCAUAUACACACACACACACACUGCAUUCAUUAUAUACACACACUGUAAAUAAAUAUUCAAUUAAUAUAAUUUUGGGGGGGUAUAAUUUUAUUUAGAAAUUUACCAGUAGCUGCUGCAUUUCCCACCCUAGUCUUAUACUCGAGUCAAUAAGUUUUCCCAGUUUUUUGCGGUAAAAUUAGGGGUCUCGACUUAUAUUCGGGUUGACUUAUACUCGAGUAUGUACAGUAUUCUAAAUCUGACAAGUCUUCUACAUUCUUAAAAUGAGAUAUAAAUGUUUUUCUUUAUAAUAAGUUAUGCAUUCACUCUUAGGCAGCUGUAGGAGAUACACUGCUACUUUAAUCCGAUGCAUAUAUUUAUUUAUAGGAUAACUAAUUAAGUACAUUGUUCAUGGGUUUUUAAAGAGAUCUGCAGAGGCAGGUUUAUAACAAUCUGUGCAUGUUCAGAGUAUACUUAUAUCAUCACACUUGUUUUGUAAGCUACCUAUGCAGACAAAGCAUGUAACAAACACAAACAUCUUAAUUCAUUUUAUAAAUACUACUGAGUUUCAGUGAAGGGUACAAUGUAUUCUUCGUUUAAAGGGACAUUAUAGAGACACUAUGACCAUUUAAUCUCAUUGAAUUAUGUAUAGUGUCAGGAUUACAGAAUGAUCCAGCACGUAGAAUUGUGUAACACCUUAGAAUGGCCGGGCUAACGUAUCAAAGAAUAGUCAGGAAUAGCCGAGGUCAAGGGAUACAGAAAGAGACACAACGAUAAGGAAAAGCCAGGAGUCAGGGAUGCCAGAAAACAGGGAAGUCAAAAACAAUGCCAAAGUCAAAUAACCAGAAUGACCAGAAUCAAUAACCCUCUCUUGGACAACCACAAGGGAAACCACGACAGGGCACUGAGCAGGAUGAGAACUGGGCCUAAAUACCCCUCUAUUAACAGUUUGAUUGAUACGCUUAUAUGAAGAAGUGGGUUUUUAACGAUUUUUUGAAGGAGUGGAGACUGGGUGAGCAUCUAACGGAGGAGGGAAGUGAGUUCCACAGGAACGGUGCAGCCCUCGAGAUAUAGCUAACACUAAACAGAAUGACAGUGCCAGGGGACUUCAUAUAAUAAAACCACUUCAAUUAGAUGAGGCAGUUAUAGUGCCUACAGUGUCCCUUUAAGUGUAUGAUGGCCAACAGUUUACUAACUUAAUCUGUUUCGGAGUGAAUGGCACAAUACAGAAAAUAUAAGCACUGUGCAUAGGGGAAAUCUGAUGUUUACUAUUAGGGAAAUGUUGCAAGAAAUAUUUAGGUAUCUCAUUUUAAUAGAUUUGUUAGAUUAACACAUUUUUAUGUAGACACAACUGUGUGUUUAUCCAAUAAAUCAGAGUAACUGAACGAUUCAUUUAAGUUAGUCUGAUGUUCAUAAGUAAAUGAGAUCAAUGUUUUGUUUUUUUCCAGGUAUUUUAGACUUUUGCAACACAGACAUUUGCGCGGACACCAAGAACUGAACUGAAACAGAGAUUCACAGAGACAGACUGUUUAAAACAAGCAUUCAUACUAUCAAUGACGUGCAAUCCAGUGUUGUAAUACAUCAUUCUACAUCAGGUUAUUUUGCAUGGAGUGAUCUUUCAAAAAGGUAAAGGUUUCUUGGUUGGAUAGUUAUGUUUCCAUUAUUUCUGGAAGGAUCUGAAACAUUUUAUCCAACUCUGUGUAGGUUCAAGUGCUGUAUGGUAUACUGUUAUUUUUGUUAGUUUUGUUAGAGACCAGCUUUACAAAAAAUAUAAUCCUUUCACAUAAAAGAACACUAUAUUUAAAAAUAUUCUGACCAGCUAGGUCAUUUAUAAAACGCAUGGAUGAACAGGUUGCUUUCAGGCAGGUACAGAUUGAAUCUAUAUUAUAUAAUUAAAUCACAACUAAAUAUAGUAAAAUAUAUUUCACAAUCCUCAUCCCAGAAAAUUGGUGAGCAUCUAAAAGUGCACUUGACAAAUAAAAUUCUAUAUCCGAAUUCUGAAAGUACCAAAUACAUAAAAAGUGCAAUGUGAAAUGUUAAACAGUGCAAUAUUAAGUGUUCUGACAUGUAGGAACCUUAAUACCUUGCAUCCAAAAGGUUAAUGUAAAAACUGUAAGUAUAUGGUUGCAAAAAAUAUAUUUACCUGCUCAUACCUCCUGUAUGGCUGCCACAAUGAACGGGGCACAUUUCAUGCCCACAAAUGGUACUGGUUGCAUCCCACAUCUGGUAUGUAAAUGCACUCUACAUAUAGUAGUGCGCCACUUUGACUUUUUUUACUUUGCAGAAACAGAUAUAGCAUAACCAGAGAUAUAUGUGUUCUAGAUCUGCCCUAGCAUUCAUUUUGCAAAUAUCCAGUCUCACAAAUGUGCCUUAGUCCGUUCAUUGGGGUAUCACAUUCUGGAAGUUGCAACAAUCCUCUUAGGUUUCCGGGGUGAACAGUGAUGGACUAUUGGUAUGAUGGGUAUAUGAUGGGUAUAUGUGUAUAUAGGCCUUGUUUUUCCACAGUAUUUGUUUCACUAGGGGUUUAGAUACUUCUAUGAUACAGUGGUGUUUUUAUUGUAAUAUGAGCUCGAUUUCAUAUGAGACAUUUUAUUGAUGUCUCCAUAACAGAGUGACAUUGGGACACAAAUGUAAUAAAACAUGUAUUUAUUCUGCAUAACUUUUUGAGUGGUGCAUUUUAUUUAUGAAUUUCUGUCACUAUAACUUGUUUAUUUUCCAUCAUUUUAAAAUCACCAUGAUGUAUAACUGUGAAGCCAUGUAGUAAUUCCUCUAACAGUCACAUCUAAUGGCCUUCAAGACUGAACAAUUACUAGCCCCUUCCUCUAACAUG